rnacentral:rRNA from 1 species
UACGUAGGGCGCAAGCGUUGUCCGGAAUUAUUGGGCGUAAAGAGCUCGUAGGCGGCUUGUCACGUCGGAUGUGAAAGCCCGAGGCUUAACCUCGGGUCUGCAUUCGAUACGGGCUAGCUAGAGUGUGGUAGGGGAGAUCGGAAUUCCUGGUGUAGCGGUGAAAUGCGCAGAUAUCAGGAGGAACACCGGUGGCGAAGGCGGAUCUCUGGGCCAGUUCUGACGCUGAGGAGCGAAAGCGUGGGGAGCGAACAGG